GGAUUCCUUAGAUGUCAUUUGUACAUUAAUGUUUGAAUUGCCCUUAGGAACUUCAUAAAUCAAGGGUGGCUGAGGAAGGCAAUCUAGGAAGGCAGUGUGACCUACCAAGUUAUACGGAGGGCAUUUAGUGUGGCAGAAGAAGCCAAGCCUGAGCACUGAGCCAGAAAUUUUGCCCAAGGUCCCAGGAUGAAGAUAGAUGGAGAAGACCUGAAGCCCAGAGGAAGCCUGGAGUCUUGCCUAACCCAGCUGAGCCCAACUCAGAUCAAAGGACCUGUGGCAGAUCUGCACAUGAGGGAGAAUAUGUUUGCUGUUGUAAGCUAAGCCCCAGAGACACUGACAUUGUUUAUUAUUCAGCAAAACACAACUGAUACAAUUCUUAAAGUAUAA